rnacentral:rRNA from 1 species
GCAAGUCGAGGGGUAGCAGGAUUUAGUUUACUAGAUUGCUGACGACCGGCGCACGGGUGAGUAACGCGUAUACAAUUUGCCUUUUACUGGAGGAUAGCCAAGAGAAAUUUUGAUUAAUACUCCAUAGUAUUAUUAGAUCACCUGGUUUGAUAAUUAAAGCUCCGGCGGUAAAAGAUGGCUAUGCGUCCUAUUAGCUAGAUGGUAAGGUAAUGGCUUACCAUGGCAACGAUAGGUAGGGGCCCUGAGAGGGGGAUC